ensembl:lncRNA FGF10-AS1 FGF10 antisense RNA 1
UGGAAGGGUAAGACCCGAUGCAAGGCAAGGAGAGAGCUCGAGGUGGUGGCUGCUGGUUAGCUCCCUCUGGGCGCGGAUCUGGCCAGAAGUGAAUGCACCAACAUCCAUAACUCCUCGGAAAAGCCGGCUGACUCCCCUCGCUCCUUUCUCGGAUCCGCUGCCUACGCCUCUGGAGCCUCCCGUGCCUGCACCUUUGUAACUGGUUACUUUAUUAAAGUCUCUUCACUUAAAUCAACUGGGAAGAAUUCUGUCCUACUCAGGACACUAACUUCAAACUGCAGUAUAUACCAUCACAGCUUCUUUGGUUUGACAGAACAUUUGGACACAUUUCUGCAAACGGACCCUUGGCAUCUCUUCUUGGAACAAAAUUUUGUAUUUGGACUCUGGCACCAUGCACCACAGAUGCAAGCAAGAAGCACUUCUACCUUCUGAGGCGGCCCCUCAAACUCAAGCCAGCUAGGCUAGGCCUGUCCAGCUUUCCUUCACAAAGAAGGAUUGGAGAGUUGCCGCUUACUGGCUUUCUCAAAUGUCAUUACUUAGCCAGUCUUCUGAAGAUUGAGAUUCAUGAACAUUGGACUCUUGCCUGUAAUUACAAUUCUUAAGUAUAUUAACCUUAUUUUCAGCUGUAUUUUUAGUUGCUUUCUGACUUCAUCUUGAAAAUACCUAUACUCUUUCUGCAUUUAUUCUAAUCUUACUUCUGAUCUUGAUUUUAAAAAGAUCUUUAUCAAUGAAAUCACCUCCAAGAACUAUUUUUGAACUUUAAGAUGUAUUCUUAAAUUUUUAGUAAAAUAGGAUUUAGAAUCAACUUUGUGAAGAUUACUAACAGAAAAAUGAAUAGCUCCUACCAUGAGGCAGUUUAUAGUUAAUGUAAAGAAUAUUAUACUUGUUUAUACAUGAAAAAGCCAUUUUCUUUCUCUAAACCUCAGAGAGCUAUAUAUAUUUAAUGAAUAAAUGAAUGUAUGAUGAAUGAAUUCCUGUCAGUCUUUAGCGAAGUCUUAUCUCUUAUUUGGAAUUCUUUCUUUAUCCCCUAUGUCUUCAUAAAUUCCAACCAAUAUCCAGGAUUAAUUCAAAUUCCUUACAAGGAUCUGAGAAGGGUUGGAGCUGUGGUAUGGGUAUGAUUGGUAGAUAGUUUUGAGCAACACUAUCACCAGAAAAUCUCUAUUUUUCUCCCAGUGACUUUUUGUUGAGGGUUGAAGAGUUUCCUUGAAGGCAAAAAAAAAAAAACUGUACUCAUCCAAAAUGUUACAGAUGUAACUUAUGGUUCAAUAGAAGCCUCUGCAAGCCAGGAUACAGAAAGAAACUUGAACCUUUGCAGAAGCUUGCAGAUUCAGCAACAGAGACUGAGAUAAGAAUGAAAUGGUAAUUCUGGGUAUGGUGUGGUGCCAAGUCCUGAAACCAGUCCCAAUAUACCUACCCUAGAAGCAUGUGGACAUCCUGAGGACAUGAAGGGCUCUAUGUGUGAUCCGGAAAAGGUGUUCCACUAUAUUCUAAAGUAUUUAUGGGCUGUGGUAGGCAGAGAAAAUUAUCCAGCAAAAAUUCAUGAAUUGUUACUGAAAAGUGACUUCUCAGAUAAGUAUUACAUUUCUCAGCUCUCGUCGUCAUUAAGCAUUACCAUGGUGACUCAGAUCUAUCCAGUGGAAUAUUGUAAGAAGUGAUGUUGCUAUUCAAGAUCUGGCUCAUGGAAGUGCUCCUCUGUGAUCUUCUCUCUUUUUUUUCUGCUGCCUAUAAUAAAAACUUCUCCCAGGGAACUUUGGAAGUCUCAUGCAGAAGACAGCAGAAACUUCACCAAUCUGGGUCUCUGUGUGACUGAAAGUAUAAGAGAUGGCAGACCCAUCUACCUGUUCUCUCACCUUUUAGUGUCACAUGAUCAAGAAAUACACUUCUAUUGUCGAGA